GAGUUUGAUCCUGACUCAGAGCGAACGCUGGCGGCGUGCUUAACACAUGCAAGUCGAACGCGCAGUUUUCUGUAGCAAUACAGGGGACGGGCCCGUGGCGAACGGGUGCGUAACACGUGGGUAACCUUCCCUCAUGUGGGGGAUAACCCGCCGAAAGGCGGGCUAAUACCGCAUAACAUUCCGAUGGCCUCGGCUGUUGGAAUCAAAGCCCGCAAGGGCGCAAGAGGAGGGACCCGCGGCCGAUUAGCUUGUUGGCGAGGUAAUGGCUCACCAAGGCAUUGAUCGGUAGCCGGACUGAGAGGUUGGCCGGCCACACUGGAACUGAGACACGGUCCAGACUCCUACGGGAGGCAGCAGUGGGGAAUCUUGCGCAAUGGGCGAAAGCCUGACGCAGCAACGCCGCGUGGGGGAUGAAGCUUCUCGGAGUGUAAACCCCUUUCGACCCGGACGAAGGCCCGCAAGGGCUUGACGGUACGGGUAUAAGAAGCCCCGGCUAACUACGUGCCAGCAGCCGCGGUAAAACGUAGGGGGCCAGCGUUGCUCGGAAUUACUGGGCGUAAAGGGUCCGUAGGCGGUGUGGCAAGUCGGUAGUGAAAUCUCUGGGCUUAACUCAGAGGCUGCUGCCGAAACUGCUGUGCUCGAGUGCGAGAGAGGCGAGUGGAAUU
rnacentral:rRNA from 1 species